rnacentral:rRNA from 1 species
AACGAACGCUGGCGGCAUGCCUAACACAUGCAAGUCGAACGAGACCUUCGGGUCUCGUGGCGCACGGGUGCGUAACGCGUGGGAACCUGCCCUUAGGUUCGGAAUAACUCCCCGAAAGGGGUGCUAAUACCGGAUAAUGUCUUCGGACCAAAGAUUUAUGGCCUUUGGAUGGGCCCGCGUUGGAUUAGCUAGUUGGUAGGGUAAAAGCCUACCAAGGCGACGAUCCAGAGCUGGUCUGAGAGGAUGAUCAGCCACACUGGGACUGAGACACGGCCCAGACUCGGACGAGGGGAAGCGGGGGGGAAGAUUGAAGAAGGGACGAAGGGUGGAUCAAGAAGUGCCGCGGGUGUUAAAAGGCCCUAGGGGGGGAAAAUGCUUUUUGCCGGGAAUGAUAGUGACGUUAGGGGGAGAAGAAGCCCGGGCUAACCCCGUG